rnacentral:rRNA from 1 species
UACGUAGGUGGCGAGCGUUGUCCGGAUUUACUGGGUGUAAAGGGCGAGUAGGCGGGGAUUCAAGUCAGAUGUGAAAUACCGAGGCUUAACUUCGGAGCUGCAUUUGAAACUGGAUUUCUUGAGUGAUGGAGAGGCAGGCGGAAUUCCCGGUGUAGCGGUGAAAUGCAUAGAGAUCGGGAGGAACACCAGUGGCGAAGGCGGCCUGCUGGACAUUAACUGACGCUGAGGCGCGAAAGUGUGGGGAGCAAAC